GGUAUAACAUGCACACAGGCUGUCUGGGCAUAACAUGCACUCAGGCCGUCUCUGGGCAGAACAUGCACUCAGGCCGUCUCUGGGCAGAACAUGCACUCAGGCUAUAAAUGGUAUAAAGGCCAUAGUUCUAACUCACCAUCAGAAGACUCGAACCCGAAGCAGAGGGAGUAGCCCGCGCGCGGUAUUUCCGCUCACUAUAUGAACUGCUGACACAUUGUUACCAGUCAGACCGUUCA